rnacentral:ncRNA from 1 species
UACUCCUUGAAAAGCUUGCCUUGUAAUUCAAACCACUUUCCUGUGGAGCAUCCACAUUCUUGUUUCUCUGUGUUAAGCAUACAGAAUAAUGAAUCAGGAUGAUGCCUCACAACAUUUGCCUAUGUAUUAGAAAGCCAUGCUGAGGUACAUGGAAGGAAAUCGUGAUCUAUCUGGCCCUAAGGGAAGAUGGAAAAAGAGAUAAAAUGGAAAUACAAACUGUGAGCAGUGUCUGCUCUGAACUGUAAACAUCAAUGCGGAAUUUUUGACAGAUGGAGUGGCUCUAUUUUGUUGGUUUUUGGAACUGAGGUCAAAAUUAAGAGGGGCGCUUAGGGCAUUCGUAUUGUGCCACUAAAGGUAAAUUGGACUGGUGAAAGAGAGACCAGAGGGAAAGCAUUUGCCAUUAAUGUUUUCAUUAAUCAAGAAAGAAAGUCAGAGGUUCGAAGAUGAUCAGAAAGCAUCUUAGUUAUGACCACAAACAAUGCCCACUGGAGAUGCAGUGGUGUUAUUCCCAUGAUCCUCCCAGGCAGCUUCCUGGAAACCUAAGUGUUUGGGUUUGCAGGGAGUAUGGUUGCAAAGCUGAAACUUAAAGGAAUUGAUGGAAGGGCACCACUAGGAGUGGAGCCUGCAGCUUAAUUUGACUCUACACGGGAGACCUCACCUGGACCAGACACGGACAGGAUUGACAGAUUGACAGCUCUUUCUUGAAUCUGUGGUGGUGGUGCAUGGCCAUUCUUAUUUGGUGGAGUGAUUUGUCUGGUUAAUUCCAAUAAGGAAGGAGACUCUGGCAUGCUAACUAGUUAAGUGACCCCAGAGUGGUCAGCAUUCCCCAACUUCUUAGAGGGACAAGUGGCAUUCAGCCACCUGAGAUUGAGCAAUAACAGGUCUGUGAUGCCCUUAGAUGUCUGAGGCUGCAUGCACACUACACUGACUGGCUCAGCCUGUGCCUACUCUAUGCCAGCUGGAGCGAGUUACCCAUUGAACCCCAUUCAUGAUGGGGAUCAGGGAUUGCAAUUAUUCCCCAUGAAUGAGGAAUUCGCAGUAAGUGUGGGUCAUAAGCUUGCAUUAAUUAAGUCCCUGCCCUUUGUACACACCGCCAGUCACUACUACCAAUUGGGUGGUUUAGUGAGGCCCUCAGAUCAGCCCUGAAGGUGUCUACCUAUGGCCCUGGUUAGGUGCUGAAAAGAAGUCGAACUUGGCUAUCUAGAGGAAGUAAAAGUUGCAACAAGUUUUCUACAGGUGAACCUGCAGAAGGAUCAUUA